rnacentral:rRNA from 1 species
CUUAGAGUUUGAUCCUGGCUCAGAGCGAACGCUGGCGGCAGGCUUAACACAUGCAAGUCGAGCGGGCCCUUYGGGGUCAGCGGCAGACGGGUGAGUAACGCGUGGGAACGUGCCCUUCGGUUCGGAAUAACCCUGGGAAACUAGGGCUAAUACCGGAUACGCCCCUUGGGGGAAAGGUUUACUGCCGAAGGAUCGGCCCGCGUCUGAUUAGCUUGUUGGUGAGGUAACGGCUCACCAAGGCGACGAUCAGUAGCUGGUCUGAGAGGAUGAUCAGCCACACUGGGACUGAGACACGGCCCAGACUCYUACGGGAGGCAGCAGUGGGGAAUAUUGGACAAUGGGCGCAAGCCUGAUCCAGCCAUGCCGCGUGAGUGAUGAAGGCCUUAGGGUUGUAAAGCUCUUUUGUCCGGGACGAUAAUGACGGUACCGGAAGAAUAAGCCCCGGCUAACUUCGUGCCAGCAGCCGCGGUAAUACGAAGGGGGCUAGCGUUGCUCGGAAUCACUGGGCGUAAAGGGCGCGUAGGCGGCUUAUCAAGUCGGGGGUGAAAGCCCGUGGCUCAACCACGGAAUGGCCUUCGAUACUGGUAGGCUUGAGACCGGAAGAGGACAGCGGAACUGCGAGUGUAGAGGUGAAAUUCGUAGAUAUUCGCAAGAACACCAGUGGCGAAGGCGGCUGUCUGGUCCGGUUCUGACCGC